GUUCCCUAAUGGGGCGUCAGGAAAGCGGACGUGACGAAACAGGAAAUAGUGAGGAAUAAUUACAUACUUUCAGCGAGUGGAUGAGACGGUCGAUGCGGCGAGUGAAGAGCAUUCAUUUUUUUAGCAUUUAUUUGAUCGUUCUGAGAAAAAGUGUCCGGUAACAUACACACACACAUGUAUUGCCCGUCUUGUGGCGUUUGCUUUAUUCGCCUUAUUCACCCGGAACGUUCUAAAGACGUUGAGGGGUACACUUCAGGGGUACAUUCGGCAACGCACCAGCUGUCAUAGCGCCUCACUGUUGUGUGCCCAAAUGUUCGUCCUCAAAGAGAAAAAAAUCCUACCGUGGACAGACUUUCCACCGUUUCCCCAAAGAGCAGGCACUUCGCCGUGAAUGUAUAAAUCAAAUCAAGAGGGAUCCUGGUCCAUAUUUCAAGAUCAACGCUGAGACCAAAGUUUGCUCUGAGCACUUUGAGAAGCAGUGUUUUGUAAAGACCGCCCGUGGUAUCACAAAGCUUAUAAAGGAUGCUGUGCCUUCUGAGCUCUAGGAAGAGCAUUACUCAGCUGGAGCUUUCCCAUGGCCAAGAGAUGAACGCUAAACUUGAUAGUUUUUUUUCUCCUCCUUCCUGCCUGCACUGUACAAAAAGUCAG